rnacentral:rRNA from 1 species
GUGCCAGCCGCCGCGGUAAGACGAAGGUGGCAAGCGUUGCUCGGAAUCACUGGGCAUAAAGCGCGCGUAGGUGGCUCGAUAAGUCGAUGGUGAAAUCCCAUGGCUCAACCAUGGAACUGCCACCGAAACUGUCGGGCUUGAGGACGGUAGGGGAGAGUGGAACUCCUGGUGUAGCGGUGAAAUGCGUAGAUAUCAGGAGGAACGCCGGUGGCGAAAGCGACUCUCUGGGCCGCUCCUGACACUGAUGUGCGAAAGCUAGGGGAGCAAACAGGAUUAGAUACCCUCGUAGUCC